rnacentral:lncRNA from 1 species
AUGUCCGUCCCCCUCACUAGCCACCCCCGGGCCUCUCUGGACUCCCCACCCCUCUUUGUUCCCUUUGUGCCACCCACGGUGGCCACCGCGGCAUCUGUGAAGUGGGCAAGCGCAGGCUGCGUGGGCGGUCAGCGCGGAGGGUGCGCGGGCACUUGUAUUUUUAAACCCCGGCUCUGGCCAGCCUCCGAAGUCAAUCGAGAUGGGGCUGGGGGUGUGGUUUCCUCUGGGCACUGCGGACUCUCAGUGAGAGGGCUGGGGGGCAUCACUGGCAUCGGGAGGUACCCCGCUGAUGCUGCUGACUGGAGGCUCCUCAUUGAUGAAGAAACAUUGGGGCUUUGGGAAACUGAGGCAUGGGAAGAUUGAGUAGAAUCUGAUAUAUACAGCUGGUAAGUAGCGGUAUGGAGAUUUGAACCCAGGCCCUCUGGCUCUGUAAUCCAGAUUCUCAGCCAUUUUACUCCCAAUGUUUCUGGCAGAUGAGAGAAUUUAAUGAGGCAGAGAUGGGGUGUGCGUGGGGAUAGGGGUGAGUUCCAGGCAGAUGGAAUAGAGCUGCAUGGAAAAUGCUGGGUGGUAGGAAGAAUGCAGAGUGUUCAAGGAGCCAGAUGAGGGCCAGUGCAGCUGGCAUGAGUGGUCCAGUGGUAGAUGGGCCGAUUGCAUGGGUCCUACUAGGAGCAUUAGGGUUUAGGUCAGGAUCCUGGCAGAAUGAGCUCUACAGGGCAGGCACUCUGUCUGUUUCCACCCAUGAGUACCCACUCUGAGCACACUGCCUGGCAUGUGGUAGGAGGUGGUGAAUGGCUAACUCAAGAGGGAGAGAACUCCCCUCUCUGCAGAUCUCACCUUGGUUGGCUUCUUCAGUUGCCACUUUCUGUCAAAAUCCCCAG